UGUAAGCGUAUACCAAAGUUGUUGCAGUUAAAACGCUCGUAGUCGGACUUUGGCAGUUCCGGAUGUGUGCACGUCGUGUGCGCACUUCGCGGGGAUUGCUUUUGUGGUCUUGCGUAGGAUGAGGCACUUUUAUUAGUGAACGUCCUCACGCAACCACUUUUUACUGUGAGAAAAUCAGAGUGCUCAAAGCAGGCAUUUGCCGUGAAUGUAUUAGCAUGGAAUAAUAGGAUAGGACUUGGUUCUAUUUUGUUGGUUUGUUGGGACUGAGUAAUGAUUAAGAGGGACAGUUGGGGGCAUUUGUAUUUCGGUGCUAGAGGUGAAAUUCUUAGAUUACCGAAAGACAAACUGCUGCGAAAGCGUCUGCCAAGGAUGUUUUCAUUGA
rnacentral:rRNA from 1 species